UGCAAGUCGAACGACGCGAGAGAAAGCUUGCUUUCUCGAGCGAGUGGCGAACGGGUGAGUAACGCGUGAGGAACCUGCCUCAAAGAGGGGGACAACAGUUGGAAACGACUGCUAAUACCGCAUAAGCCCACGACCCGGCAUCGGGUAGAGGGAAAAGGAGCAAUCCGCUUUGAGAUGGCCUCGCGUCCGAUUAGCUAGUUGGUGAGGUAACGGCCCACCAAGGCGACGAUCGGUAGCCGGACUGAGAGGUUGAACGGCCACAUUGGGACUGAGACACGGCCCAGACUCCUACGGGAGGCAGCAGUGGGGAAUAUUGCACAAUGGGGGAAACCCUGAUGCAGCGACGCCGCGUGGAGGAAGAAGGUCUUCGGAUUGUAAACUCCUGUUGUUGAGGAAGAUAAUGACGGUACUCAACAAGGAAGUGACGGCUAACUACGUGCCAGCAGCCGCGGUAAAACGUAGGUCACAAGCGUUGUCCGGAAUUACUGGGUGUAAAGGGAGCGCAGGCGGGAAGACAAGUUGGAAGUGAAAUCCAUGGGCUCAACCCAUGAACUGCUUUCAA
rnacentral:rRNA from 1 species